UAGGGAAUCUUCGGCAAUGGGGGCAACCCUGACCGAGCAACGCCGCGUGAGUGAAGAAGGUUUUCGGAUCGUAAAGCUCUGUUGUAAGAGAAGAACGUGUGUGAGAGUGGAAAGUUCACACAGUGACGGUAACUUACCAGAAAGGGACGGCUAACUACGUGCCAGCAGCCGCGGUAAUACGUAGGUCCCGAGCGUUGUCCGGAUUUAUUGGGCGUAAAGCGAGCGCGGGCGGUUUAAUAAGUCUGAAGUUAAAGGCAGUGGCUUAACCAUUGUUCGCUUUGGAAACUGUUAAACUUGAGUGCAGAAGGGGAGAGUGGAAUUCCAUGUGUAGCGGUGAAAUGCGUAGAUAUAUGGAGGAACACCGGUGGCGAAAGCGGCUCUCUGGUCUGUAACUGACGCUGAGGCUCGAAAGCGUGGGGAGCAAACAGG
rnacentral:rRNA from 1 species